CGUGUAGGCGGCUCAUCAAGUCUGGUGUGAAAUCGACAGGCUCAACCUGUCAUAUGCGCUGGAAACUGGUGGGCUUGAGUUCUGGAGGGGAAGCUGGAAUUCCAGGUGUAGGGGUGAAAUCUGUAGAUAUCUGGAAGAACACCGGUGGCGAAGGCGAGCUUCUAUCCGAGGACUGACGCUGAGGCGCGAAAGCGUGGGGAGCAAACAGGAUUAGAUACCCUGGUAGUCCAACGCUGUAAACGAUGUGCACUAGGCGUGGGGCACGUACGUGCUCUGUGCCGUAGUUAACGUGUUAAGUGCACCGCCUGGGGAGUAUGCUCGCAAGGGUGAA
rnacentral:rRNA from 1 species